rnacentral:rRNA from 1 species
AGAACGAACGCUGGCGGCAUGCCUAAUACAUGCAAGUCGAACGAACACUCUGACUUCGGUUGGGGUGUUAGUGGCGCACGGGUGCGUAACGCGUGGGAAUCUGCCCUUGGGUUCGGAAUAACAGGUUGGAAACGACUGACUAAUACCGGAUGAUAUCGAAUGAUACAAAGUAUUUAUCGCCCAGGGAUGAGCCCGCGUAGAUUAGCUAGGUUGGUAGGGGUAAAGGCUCACCGAGGCGACGAUCCUUAGCUGGUCUGAGAGGAUGAUCAGCCACACGUGGGCUGACGACACCGGCCCAGACCUCCGUACGGGAGCAGCAGUAGGAUAUGGACAGUGGCACAAGCCUAGACUCCAGCAAUCGCCGCG